rnacentral:rRNA from 1 species
UGGGGAAUAUUGCACAAUGGGCACAAGCCUGAUGCAGCCAUGCCGCGUGUAUGAAGAAGGCCUUCUGGUUGUAAAGUACUUUCAGUCGGGAGGAAGGUGGUAAGGUUAAUAACCUUGGCAAUUGACGUUACCGACAGAAGAAGCACCGGCUAACUCCGUGCCAGCAGCCGCGGUAAUACGGAGGGUGCAAGCGUUAAUCGGAAUUACUGGGCGUAAAGCGCACGCAGGCGGUUGAUUGAGUCAGAUGUGAAAUCCCCGGGCUUAACCCGGGAAUUGCAUCUGAUACUGGUCAGCUAGAGUCUUGUAGAGGGGGGUAGAAUUCCAUGUGUAGCGGUGAAAUGCGUAGAGAUGUGGAGGAAGACCGGUGGCGAAGGCGGCCCCCUGGACAAAGACUGACGCUCAGGUGCGAAAGCGUGGGGAGCAAACAGG